ACUCCUACGGGAGGCAGCAGUAGGGAAUCUUCCACGAUGGGCGCAAGCCUGAUGGAGCAACACCGCGUGAGUGAAGAAGGGUUUCGGCUCGUAAAGCUCUGUUGUUAAAGAAGAACACGUAUGAGAGUAACUGUUCAUACGUUGACGGUAUUUAACCAGAAAGUCACGGCUAACUACGUGCCAGCAGCCGCGGUAAUACGUAGGUGGCAAGCGUUAUCCGGAUUUAUUGGGCGUAAAGAGAGUGCAGGCGGUUUUCUAAGUCUGAUGUGAAAGCCUUCGGCUUAACCGGAGAAGUGCAUCGGAAACUGGAUAACUUGAGUGCAGAAGAGGGUAGUGGAACUCCAUGUGUAGCGGUGGAAUGCGUAGAUAUAUGGAAGAACACCAGUGGCGAAGGCGGCUACCUGGUCUGCAACUGACGCUGAGACUCGAAAGCAUGGGUAGCGAACAGGAUUAGAUACCCUGGUAGGAUAGCG
rnacentral:rRNA from 1 species